rnacentral:rRNA from 1 species
AGUGGGGAAUAUUGCACAAUGGGCGCAAGCCUGAUGCAGCGACGCCGCGUGAGGGAUGACGGCCUUCGGGUUGUAAACCUCUUUCAGCUCUGACGAAGCGAAAGUGACGGUAGGAGCAGAAGAAGCACCGGCUGACUACGUGCCAGCAGCCGCGGUAAUACGUAGGGUGCGAGCAUUGUCCGGAUUUAUUGGGCGUAAAGAGCUCGUAGGCGGUCUGCCGCGUCGGAUGUGAAAACUCGGGGCUCAACCCCGAGCCUGCAUUCGAUACGGGCAGACUAGAGUGUUGCAGGGGAGACUGGAAUUCCUGGUGUAGCGGUGAAAUGCGCAGAUAUCAGGAGGAACACCGGUGGCGAAGGCGGGUCUCUGGGCAACUACUGACGCUGAGGAGCGAAAGCGUGGGGAGCAAA